rnacentral:rRNA from 1 species
GGACGAACGCUGGCGGCGUGGAUUAGGCAUGCAAGUCGGACGGUAGGACUUUAUCGUAAGAUAGAGUUUGAGAGUGGCGAACGGGUGAGUAAUACGUAGGAAUCUACCCUUAAGACGGGGACAACUCAGGGAAACUUGGGCUAAUACCGGAUGCGAGUGUAUGAGAGUACAUUUAAAAGGAUGGUGAAAGCUAUCGCUUAGGGAUGAGCCUGCGGUCUAUUAGCUAGUUGGUGGGGUAAGAGCUCACCGAGGCGAUGAUAGAUAGGCGGCCUUAACGGGUGGUCGCCCACACUGGGAUUGAGAUACGGCCCAGACUCCUACGGGAGGCAGCAGUCGAGAAUAGUCUACAAUGGCCGGAAGGCUGAUAGUGCGACGCCGCGUGAACGAGGGAGCCCUUCGGGGUGUAAAGUUCUUUUCUAUACGAGCAGUGCUAUAUAUAUUCAAAGUAUAUAUAGAGGGAUAGUAGUAUAGGAAUAAGCAACGGCUAACUCCGUGCCAGCAGCCGCGGUAACACGGGGGUUGCGAGCGUUGUCCGGAAUUACUAGGCGUAAAGGGCAGGUAGGCGGAUCUACGAGUUUUUUGUUAAAGGCUACGGCUCAACUGUAGUAAGGCAGGAGAUACUGUAGGUCUGGAAUGCGGUAGGGGAAGACAGAAUUCCUGGUGUAGCGGUGGAAUGCGCAGAGAUCAGGAGGAAUACCGAAGGCGAAGGCAGUCUUCUAGGCCGUAAUUGACGCUUAACUGCGAAGGUGUGGGGAUCAAACAGGAUUAGAUACCCUGGUAGUCCACACAGUAAACGAUAAUCACUAGAUGUCGGAUUCUAGAUGGAUUCGGUGUCGGAGCUAACGCGAUAAGUGAUUCGCCUGGGGAGUACGAUCGCAAGGUUGAAACUCAAAGGAAUUGACGGGGGCCCGCACAAGCGGUGGAGUAUGUGGUUUAAUUCGACGCAACGCGAAGAACCUUACCAAGACUUGACAUUGAUUGAAAAGCUAAGAGAUUAGCUCCUCUUCUUCGGAAGACAAGAAAACAGGUGGUGCAUGGCUGUCGUCAGCUCGUGUCGUGAGAUGUUGGGUUAAGUCCCGCAACGAGCGCAACCCCUAUCCUAUGUUGCCAGCGAGUAAUGUCGGGAACUCAUGGGAGACUGCCGCAGACAAUGCGGAGGAAGGCGGGGAUGACGUCAAGUCAUCAUGCCCCUUAUGUCUUGGGCUACACACGUACUACAAUGGACUUAAAUAGAGGGAAGCAAUACCGCGAGGUGGAGCCAAACCCAGAAACAAGUUCUCAGUUCGGAUUGUAGGCUGCAACUCGCCUACAUGAAGUCGGAAUCGCUAGUAAUCGCAGGUCAGCAUACUGCGGUGAAUACGUUCCCGGGCCU